CACGUAGGGGGCGAGCGUUGUCCGGAUUUAUUGGGCGUAAAGAGCUCGUAGGCGGCUUGGUAAGUCAGGUGUGAAACCUCCAGGCUCAACCUGGAGACGCCACUUGAUACUGCCAUAGCUAGAGUCCGGUAGGGGAGCGUGGAAUUUCUGGUGUAGCGGUGAAAUGCGUAGAUAUCUGGAGGAACACCGGUGGCGAAGGCGGCAUCCUGGACCAAUUCUGACACUGAGGAGCGAAAGCCAGGGGAGCAAACGGG
rnacentral:rRNA from 1 species